CUGACCUGGCAGGGGCCCCGCCCAUUCACUGGUCACCAUGGGCACUGGAAGGAUGGCCACCCAGCCGCUGACCACUAAAGCCCUGAGAGAAGAGAAUGGAG